AAACUUAAAUGAAUUGACGGGGCCCGCACAAGCAGCGGAGCGUGUGGUUUAAUUCGAUGCAACACGAAGAACCUUACCAGGGCUUGACAUGCCAGAAGUAGAAACCUGAAAGGGGACGAUCAGUAUCCAGUCUGAAGCUGGCACAGGUGCUGCAUGGCUGUCGUCAGCUCGUGCCGUGAGGUGUAUGGUUAAGUCCCAUAACGAGCGCAACCCUCGUCGCUAGUUAAUUUCCCUAGCGAGACCGCCUCGCAAAACGGGGAGGAAGGUGGGGAUGACGUCAAGUCAGCAUGGCCUUUAUACCCUGGGCGACACACACGCUACAAUGGGUGGUAUAAUUGGUAGCGAAGGAGCGAUCCGGAGCAAAUCCUUAAAACCAUCCUCAGUACGGAUUGCAGGCUGAAACCCGCCUGCAUGAAGCCGGAGUUGCUAGUAACCGCAUAUCAGAAUGGUGCGGUGAAUACGUUCUCGGGCCUU
rnacentral:rRNA from 1 species